AUGUUCGGGGAUGUGGGCCACGGGCUGCUCAUGUUCCUCUUCGCACUGGCCAUGGUGCUUGCGGAGAACCGGCCAGCUGUGAAGGCCGCGCAGAACGAGGUGAGGGGCCGGGCUGGGGUCCUGAUGAGGGUAGCAGGGCCAGGCAGUCCCUCACCACACCGCUGCCCCCCAGAUCUGGCAGACUUUCUUCAGGGGCCGCUACCUGCUCCUGCUCAUGGGCCUGUUCUCCAUCUACACUGGCUUCAUCUACAACGAGUGCUUCAGUCGUGCCACCAGCAUCUUCCCCUCGGGCUGGAGUGUGGCCGCCAUGGCCAACCAGUCUGGCUGGAGGUGAGGCCCGGGCCUCAGCCCAGCCGGGGGCCCCGCAGCACCCGCAGCCCUGACCACCCUGCCCUCCGUUGCCGCAGUGAUGCGUUCCUGGCCCAGCACACGAUGCUUACCCUGGAUCCCAACGUCACCGGUGUCUUCCUGGGACCCUACCCCUUUGGCAUCGACCCUGUGAGUCCUGGGAUGGAGUGUCUGUGGGUGGUGAAGGCAGCUGGGAGUGGGGCCUGGGGCUCCCCUUGGUUCAGCCGUCCUGCAGCGCUGUCGCUGAGCACUCCUGUGUGCCAGGCCCUUUCCUCAGCACAAGAGGCAGACAAGCCUCCUGCCCUGCGGAGCCUGCAUCACAGUCCCCUGAGUGUGCGGAGGCAAAGCCAGACCAGCCAGGAACCAGUCUCCUGAGUGUGCAGAGGCAAAGCGAGACCGUACAGGAACCAGUCUGCAGCUUGCACUGUGCCAAGUGCUGUUCCCAACCCUCUGUGGAAAUGAUUUUCUUUUUUAUCUUUUUUUUUUUUUGGAUAUGGAGUCUCAUUCUGUU
rnacentral:sRNA from 1 species